rnacentral:lncRNA from 1 species
UGGCAUGUCAGUUAACUGCUAGUAGUUUGUUGUUAUUUAUGUAUUAUUGUCAUUUUGUUUAUUUUCUUUGGUUACAUCUUCUGACAUCAGACUCGGACUUCUCUUGAACUGAAUUUUAAUGUGCGUAUUGUUAUGCGUUUACUUUUCUACAUUGGUUAGAGGUAUAGGGGAGGGUUGAGAUCUCACAAACAUGUUUAACCCCGCCGCAUUUUUGCGCCUGUCCCAAGUCAGGAGCCUCUGGCCUUUGUUAGUCUUGUAUUAUUUUAAUUUUAGUUUCUUGUGUACAAUUUAGAAAUUAGUAUGGCGUUCAUUAUCACUGGACUAGUAUAUAUUUGUUUAGGGGCCAGCUGAAGGACGCCUCCGGGUGCGGGAAUUUCUCGCUACAUUGAAGACCUGUUGGUGACCCUCUGCUGUUGUUUUUUAUUUGGUCGGGUUGUUGUCUCUUUGACACAUUCCCCAUUUCCAUUCUCAAUUUUAUUAAAG